rnacentral:rRNA from 2 species
AAACCAACCGGGAUUGCCUCAGUAACGGCGAGUGAAGCGGCAAAAGCUCAAAUUUGAAAUCUAGUACCUUUGGUGCUCGAGUUGUAAUUUGUAGAGGGAUACUUUGGGGCCGUUCCUUGUCUAUGUUCCUUGGAACAGGACGUCAUAGAGGGUGAGAAUCCCGUGUGGCGAGGAGUGCGGUUCUAUGUAAAGUGCCUUCGAAGAGUCGAGUUGUUUGGGAAUGCAGCUCUAAGUGGGUGGUAAAUUCCAUCUAAAGCUAAAUAUUGGCGAGAGACCGAUAGCGAACAAGUACAGUGAUGGAAAGAUGAAAAGAACUUUGAAAAGAGAGUGAAAAAGUACGUGAAAUUGUUGAAAGGGAAGGGCAUUUGAUCAGACAUGGUGUUUUGUGCCCCAUACUCCUUGUGGGUGUGGGAAUCUCGCAGCUCACUGGGCCAGCAUCAGUUUUGGUGGCAGGAUAAAACGCUUGGAAUGUGGCUUGCUUCGGGAAGUGUUAUAGCCAAGUGUCAUACUGCCAACCGGGACUGAGGACUGCGACAUUCGUCAAGGAUGCUGGCAUAAUGGUUAAAUGCCGC